AUACGGCGGAUCCGAGCGUUAUCCGGAUUUAUUGGGUUUAAAGGGUGCGCAGGCGGCCAUUUAAGUCAGCGGUUAAAUCGUGGGGCUCAACCCCAUUCUGCCGUUGAUACUGGGUGGCUUGAUUGCGGUCGAGGUUGGCGGAAUUCGUUGUGUAGCGGCGAAAUGCAUAGAUAUGACGAAGAACACCGAUUGCGUAGGCAGCUGACCAGACCGCAAAUGACGCUCAUGCACGAAAGUGCGGGGAUCGAACAGGAUUAGAUACCCUGGUAGUCCGCACAGUAAACGAUGAAUACUUGUUUUCGGCGAUAUAAUGUCGGAGGCAAAGCGAAAGCGAUAAGUAUUCCACCUGGGGAGUACGCCGGCAACGGUGAAACUCAAAUGAAUUGGCGGGG
rnacentral:rRNA from 1 species